AUUGAACGCUGGCGGCAUGCCUUACACAUGCAAGUCGAACGGUAACAGGUCUUCGGAUGCUGACGAGUGGCGAACGGGUGAGUAAUACAUCGGAACGUGCCUAGUAGUGGGGGAUAACUACUCGAAAGAGUGGCUAAUACCGCAUGAGAUCUACGGAUGAAAGCAGGGGAUCGCAAGACCUUGUGCUAUUAGAGCGGCCGAUGGCAGAUUAGGUAGUUGGUGGGAUAAAAGCUUACCAAGCCGACGAUCUGUAGCUGGUCUGAGAGGACGAUCAGCCACACUGGGACUGGGACACGGCCCAGACUCCUACGGGAGGCAGCAGUGGGGAAUGUUGGACAAUGGGCGCAAGCCUGAUCCAGCAAUGCCGCGUGCAGGAUGAAGGCCUUCGGGUUGUAAACUGCUUUUGUACGGAGCGAAAAGCCCUGGGUUAAUACCCUGGGGUCAUGACGGUACCGUAAGAAUAAGCACCGGCUAACUACGUGCCAGCAGCCGCCGUAAAAC
rnacentral:rRNA from 1 species